rnacentral:rRNA from 1 species
AUUCCGUAGGGUGAACCUGCGGAGGGAUCAUUACCGAGUUUACAACUCCCAAACCCAAUGUGAACGUUACCAAACUGUUGCCUCGGCGGGAUCUCUGCCCCGGGUGCGUCGCAGCCCCGGACCAAGGCGCCCGCCGGAGGACCAACCAAAACUCUUAUUGUAUACCCCCUCGCGGGUUUAAUCUGAGCCUUCUCGGCGCCUCUCGUAGGCGUUUCGAAAAUGAAUCAAAACUUUCAACAACGGAUCUCUUGGUUCUGGCAUCGAUGAAGAACGCAGCGAAAUGCGAUAAGUAAUGUGAAUUGCAGAAUUCAGUGAAUCAUCGAAUCUUUGAACGCACAUUGCGCCCGCCAGUAUUCUGGCGGGCAUGCCUGUCCGAGCGUCAUUUCAACCCUCGAACCCCUCCGGGGGGUCGGCGUUGGGGAUCGGCCCUGCCUUGGCGGUGGCCGUCUCCGAAAUACAGUGGCGGUCUCGCCGCAGCCUCUCCUGCGCAGUAGUUUGCACACUCGCAUCGGGAGCGCGGCGCGUCCACAGCCGUUAAACACCCAACUUCUGAAAUGUGACCUCGGAUCAGUAGAUGCUCAGAUAG